rnacentral:rRNA from 1 species
UACAGAGGUCUCAAGCGUUGUUCGGAUUCAUUGGGCGUAAAGGGCGCGUAGGCGGCGGGGUCAGUCGGGUGUGAAAUCUUGGGGCUUAACCCCGAAACGGCACUCGAAACUGCCCGGCUGGAGGGCCGGAGAGGAGAUCGGAAUUCACGGUGUAGCAGUGAAAUGCGUAGAGAUCGUGAGGAAGACCCGUGGCGAAGGCGGAUGUCUGGACGGCUAAAACUGACGCUGAGGCGCGAAGGCCAGGGGAGCAAACGGG